GGAAGGCUGCUUCAGGAGCCUCAUUAGUCAUUCCCUUUAGCAGCAUACAACAGGAUCUUGCAGCUGCCCUGUCUCUGCAGUAUUGCCCAAGGUAGAUGGAGGAGUUGUUACCAGAAUGCUAUCAAAGCAGAGUUUCCACAUCCAAAAGACUGAGAGCUCAGUUGAACAGAUUACCCCUUGGUCAGAAGAUAAAGAGGUCUGGCUCCACAGGUGCUACCAUCCAAGAGCUUGACCAUGUUUGAAAAAGUUUUACUGAAGGCAUUGGAAUCACAGAAAAGGUGUAAAAAGAUAAAAGAAUUAGAUGCCUAGGGAAACUAUUCUGUGCAUCUAGAUGUAAAUGCUCUUUCCUGGUACAUUCAUUUUUUAUUUACUGGACAGUCUUCCAAGAUUAUUGUUGGUACCAAGAGAAAAAUGAACUGACAUUUCAAAUGCAUUAAAUCAUAUGUGAACUGCUAAUUUCAAAAGGUGCUUCAACAUUUUUAUCUUGUCAAAAAAGAUUCUAGUCUGCCAUCACAAUUGAUGUUAA